UGGCUCCCGAUUCUCAAAAAAAAAAAUAACCUAGCCAUUGUUCGCCGCUCCUCCUCUCGCGCAUAACCUUUCCCUCUCGUAGCGAUCUAAUUUAUCAGCCCUAGAGAGAGUGCCCAUUGCGAACCCAAGGCCGAGCGAAAUCAAGGGGAAACGAGACGCAGUGACGACAGCGGUGAGGUAGGCGGAAGGCGAUGGCGUCCGCCGCGGUGGAGAAAAAGCAACCGGCGGAGGUGGAGGGCGAGAUGUGCGUGCCAGCGGCGCAGGUGAGAGGAGGCGGAGGCAAGGGGUUGCGGCAGUACUAUGUCCAGUACAUCCAUGAUCUCCAGCUCCAGAUCAGGAAGAAGGCGAACAACCUCCAGCGCCUCGAGGCCCAACAGAACGAUCUCAACUCUCGCGAUUAGGAAUCCCAACCCUCGAUGUGUGUUUUUGUACCAUUUUCCACGAUGCCCUAAUCCUGAGAAGUCAGAAUGCUCCGAGAAGAGCUACAGCUGCUUCAGAAGCCUGGUUCGUAUGUUGGAGAGGUGGUGAAAGUGAUGGGGAAAUCCAAGGUCCUAGUCAAGCAUUGGUGCUACAUUUUCCUCCGAUUCAAAAAAGGCAGGCUUCUGGACCUAUGUAUUGCUACAAAGAUGGAAAACUCACUGCAUUGGAGGAAGCAAACCAGCCUGAUGGAAUAUAUGUUCAUGAAAAGUGCGUUGUAUGGGCUCCCCAAGUGUAUUUUUCUAGAGAAAUCGUGAAAAACUUUGAAUUAGAACUAAAGCGAGCAUCAAAGUUAAAAUGCAGCAAAUGUGGGUUGAAAGGUGCUGCUCUUGGUUGUGAUCUCAUUUAUUUAUUGCCUACAGACUCUUGAUGAUGAAUUAUCUCAUUUCCGAGAUACGUCUAGUUUGCUAUCCCAAUCCUACGAACAACUCCUCCUGAGAUACGAGUUGCAAUCCGAUCAAUCAUUACUAGAAGAAUACCAUUUUCCCUAUGAUUCUAAUUGGCUUAAGACACAGAUCAAUAGGGGCCUUGAGUUUUGGUUGGGAUACAGGGAAGCAAGCUUUGUGUCAGAGGAUGAGAAAUGGAAAUGUCAAUUCUGUGAUUUUGUCUCCGAUUGCCCGUUUUCAGUUACUUCGUCCAGGGACCGCAUAAGAAGUAGAUAACCAUCUUUUAGUUACACAUUUUGUCUCCGUCAUGCAAUGCUUGCACGAGAUGAGACAAUUGCAGUACAACAUAUAAAGUUUACAAACUGAUGACAAUUCGCUGACACUUUGAAACUAUACAAGAAAGUCCACUCCUGCAAUCGAUUUGGAUUGAAAGUGUCUUUCUCAUCCAUUGCAUUUCAUUUCCACUUAUCAUGGAACCAAUUUUACUUAUUACAUUUGUUUGUCUAUUUUUUUCCUAUUGAUAAUUCAUUAUUAUGUACUUUUGCUUUGAACUACAAAUUACAAUCUCGUUGCCUUCCUUGCA